AACGAACGCUGGCGGCAUGCCUAACACAUGCAAGUCGAACGAGACCUUCGGGUCUAGUGGCGCACGGGUGCGUAACGCGUGGGAACCUGCCCUUAGGUUCGGAAUAACUCCCCGACAGGGGUGCUAAUACCGGAUAAUGUCUUCGGACCAAAGAUUUAUCGCCUUUGGCUGGGCCCGCGUUGGAUUAGCUAGUUGGUAGGGUAAAAGCCUACCAAGGCGACGAUCCAUAGCUGGUCUGAGAGGAUGAUCAGCCACACUGGGACUGAGACACGGCCCAGACGCCUAGGGGAGGCAGCAGUGGGGAAUAUUGGACAGUGGGCGAAAGCCUGAUCCAGCAAUGCCGCGUGAGUGAUGAAGGCCUUAGGGUUGUAAAGCUCUUUUACCCGGGAUGAUAAUGACAGUACCGGGAGAAUAAGCUCCGGCUAACUCCGU
rnacentral:rRNA from 1 species